GGGGAUGUGGUUCAAGUGGUAACACGCUCACCUAGCAUGUGUGAGUCACUGGGUUCAAUUCUCAGCACCACA
rnacentral:tRNA from 1 species